rnacentral:rRNA from 1 species
AUUGAACGCUGGCGGCAGGCCUAACACAUGCAAGUCGAACGGUAACAGGAAGCAGCUUGCUGCUUCGCUGACGAGUGGCGGACGGGUGAGUAAUGUCUGGGAAACUGCCUGAUGGAGGGGGAUAACUACUGGAAACGGUAGCUAAUACCGCAUAACGUCGCAAGACCAAAGAGGGGGACCUUAGGGCCUCUUGCCAUCGGAUGUGCCCAGAUGGGAUUAGCUAGUAGGUGGGGUAACGGCUCACCUAGGCGACGAUCCCUAGCUGGUCUGAGAGGAUGACCAGCCACACUGGAACUGAGACACGGUCCAGACUCCUACGGGAGGCAGCAGUGGGGAAUAUUGCACAAUGGGCGCAAGCCUGAUGCAGCCAUGCCGCGUGUAUGAAGAAGGCCUUCGGGUUGUAAAGUACUUUCAGCGGGGAGGAAGGGAGUAAAGUUAAUACCUUUGCUCAUUGUCGUUACCCGCAGAAGAAGCACCGGCUAACUCCGUG